rnacentral:rRNA from 1 species
CGAACGGUAACAGGAAGAAGCUUGCUUCUUUGCUGACGAGUGGCGGACGGGUGAGUAAUGUCUGGGAAACUGCCUGAUGGAGGGGGAUAACUACUGGACCCGGUAGCUAAUACCGCAUAACGUCGCAAGACCAAAGAGGGGGACCUUCGGGCCUCUUGCCAUCGGAUGUGCCCAGAUGGGAUUAGCUAGUAGGUCCGGUAACUUCUCACCUAGGCGCCGAUCCCUACGUGGUCUGAGAUUAUGACCAGCCACACUGGAACUGAGACACGGUCCAGACUCCUACUUGAGGCAGCAGUGGGGAAUAUUGCACAAUGGGCGCAAGCCUGAUGCAGCCAUGCCGCGUGUAUGAAGAAGGCCUUCGGGUUGUAAAGUACUUUCAGCGGGGAGGAAGGGAGUAAAGUUAAUACCUUUGCUCAUUGACGUUACCCGCAGAAGCCGCACCGGCUAACUCCGUGCCAGCAGUUGCGGUAAUACGGAGGGUGCAAGCGUUAAUCGGAACCACUGGGCGUAAAGCGCACGCAGGCGGUUUGUUAAGUCAG